rnacentral:rRNA from 1 species
AACGCGAAGAACCUUACCUGGGUUUGACAUCCUUUGAAUACAGUAGAGAUAUUGUAGGCUCGCAAGAGACAAAGAGACAGGUGCUGCAUGGCUGUCGUCAGCUCGUGUUGUGAAAUGUUGGGUUAAGUCCCGCAACGAGCGCAACCCUUGUCUUUGGUUGCUAACAUUUAAGGUGAGCACUCCAGAGAGACUGCCGUCGUUAAGACGGAGGAAGGUGGGGAUGACGUCAAGUCCUCAUGGCCUUUAUAUCCAGGGCGACACACGUGAUACAAUGGUAGGUACAGAGGGAUGCAAGGUAGCGAUACUAAGCAAAUCCCAAAAAGCCUAUCUCAGUUCGGAUUGGAGUCUGCAACUCGACUCCAUGAAGCUGGAAUCGCUAGUAAUCGCGGAUCAGCACGCCGCGGUGAAUACGUUCCCGGGCCUUGUACACACCGCUCGUC